GCCAGGUGUGGUGGCUCACACCUGUAAUCCCAGCACUUUGGGAGGCCGAGGCGGGUGGAUCACCUGAGGUCAGGAGUUCGAGACCAGCCUGGCCAAUAUGGUGAAACCCCGUCUCUA
rnacentral:SRP_RNA from 1 species